rnacentral:rRNA from 1 species
AUGAACGCUGGCGGCGUGCCUAAUACAUGCAAGUCGAGCGAACGGACGAGAAGCUUGCUUCUCUGAUGUUCGCGGCGGACGGGUGAGUAACACGUGGAUAACCUACCUAUAAGACUGGGAUAACUUCGGGAAACCGGAGCUAAUACCGGAUGAUAUUUUGAACCGCAUGGUUCAAAAGUGAAAGACGGUCUUGCUGUCACUUAUAGAUGGAUCCGCGCUGCAUUAGCUAGUUGGUAAGGUAACGGCUUACCAAGGCAACGAUGCAUAGCCGACCUGAGAGGGUGAUCAGCCACACUGGAACUGAGACACGGUCCAGACUCCUACGGGAGGCAGCAGUAGGGAAUCUUCCGCAAUGGGCGAAAGCCUGACGGAGCAACGCCGCGUGAGUGAUGAAGGUCUUCGGAUCGUAAAACUCUGUUAUUAGGGAAGAACAUAUGUGUAAGUAACUGUGCACAUCUUGACGGUACCUAAUCAGAAAGCCACGGCUAACUACGUG